AGAGCAUCAGGGGACUUACAGCUGCACUGCUCGUAAUGCUGUUACCGGCCUAGAGGUCUCUUGGAUCCACACACUGAAAGGGUCGGCUGCACCCCUCGGUGGGGUUCUGUCCUUGAUGAUGAUCACUGCCAUAACCCUAGUGGGAUUCAGGCUUGUGUAAAAGGGGCCCCUCUCUGAACACAGCCAAUUCUCAGGAGGUUGAUGGGACGUGUUCCUGAGUUCACAAGACUCUCUACUGCUAGCUAGCUAGCUAGCUAGCUUGCAUGAUGUUACUAGACAAGCAUUUGAAAACAAACCAAC